GACGAACGCUGGCGGCGUGCUUAACACAUGCAAGUCGAGCGGUAAGGCCCUUUCGGGGGUACACGAGCGGCGAACGGGUGAGUAACACGUGGGUGACCUGCCCUCAGCUCUGGGAUAAGCCUGGGAAACCGGGUCUAAUACCGGAUAUGACUCCAUGACGCAUGUUGUGGGGUGGAAAGCCUUGUGCGGCUGAGGAUGGGCCCGCGGCCUAUCAGCUUGUUGGUGGGGUGANGGCCUACCAAGGCGACGACGGGUAGCCGGCCUGAGAGGGCGACCGGCCACACUGGGACUGAGACACGGCCCAGACUCCUACGGGAGGCAGCAGUGGGAAUCUUGCGCAAUGGGCGAAAGCCUGACGCAAGCGACGCCGCGUGAGGGAUGACGGCCU
rnacentral:rRNA from 1 species